AUCUCUCGAAUCUGCGAACGGCUCCGCAAACCGGUUGUAAUUCAUCGUACGUCUAGCCCGGCUCGGGCCUCGACCCUCCGGGGUCGGGUGCUGGAUCCGGGCACCGCUCACAUGGAUAUCCCUGGUAAUUCUGGGGCUAAUACAUGGCACAAACACUGAACUGGCCCGGUCCCGGGGGCGUAGGCUUCGGCUGAAACCAUCAACCCGGGGUAUCCCGGGCCAGGGACGUGCGAGUCUUCCAACCAAGUUCGGCUUGGGGUCUCUUCUAACCUUCGGGACGGAACGCACGUCUGAACCUGCUCCCGCCUCGUGCGGGACCGGGUCCGGGCACCGAGCUUUCUUCUGGCUGCGGGUUCAGGCUAACCCCUGGGUUCGCUUCUGGGGAUUGCAGAGUCCUGUACCCGGGCAGGUGGGUACUGCGGCUUCCGACCUAUCAACUAGAAUGCGGUAAAAUGGGCUGCAAUGGUCGCAACGGGUACAGAGGAUUAGGGUUCGAUCCUGGAGAGUGGGCCUGAGAGAUC
rnacentral:rRNA from 1 species